rnacentral:rRNA from 1 species
CGCCAUUCGCCCUUGGGGUGCAGCAGGCGCGAAAACUUUGCAAUACACGAAAGUGUGACAGGGCUAUCCCGAGUGCCAUCCGCUGAGGAAGGCUUUUACCCAGUCUAGAAAGCUGGGGGAAUAAGGAGAGGGCAAGUCUGGUGUCAGCCGCCGCGGUAAUACCAGCUCUCCGAGUGGUGUGGAUGUUUAUUGGGCCUAAAGCAUCCGUAGCUGGCUAAGUUAGUCCCUUGUUAAAUCCACCGAAUUAAUCGUUGGAUCGCGGGGGAUACUGCUUGGCUAGGGGACGAGAGAGGCAGACGGUAUUUUCGGGGUAGGGGUGAAAUCCUAUAAUCCCGGGAAGACCACCAGUGGCGAAGGCUGUCUGCUAGAACGCGCCCGACGGUGAGGGAUGAAAGCUGGGGGAGCGAACCGGAUUAGAUACCCGGGUAGUCCCAGCUGUAAACGAUGCAGGCUAGGUGUUUGGACGGCCACGUACCGUUCUAGUGCCGCAGGGAAGCUGUUAAGCCUGCCGCCUGGGGAGUACGAUCGCAAGAUUGAAACUUAAAGGAAUUGGCGGGGGAGCAC